rnacentral:rRNA from 1 species
AGUGAACGCUGGCGGUAGGCCUAACACAUGCAAGUCGAACGGCAGCACAGUAAGAGCUUGCUCUUACGGGUGGCGAGUGGCGGACGGGUGAGGAAUACAUCGGAAUCUACUUUUUCGUGGGGGAUAACGUAGGGAAACUUACGCUAAUACCGCAUACGACCUACGGGUGAAAGCAGGGGAUCUUCGGACCUUGCGCGAUUGAAUGGGCCGAUGUCGGAUUAGCUAGUUGGCGGGGUAAAGGCCCACCAAGGCGACGAUCCGUAGCUGGUCUGAGAGGAUGAUCAGCCACACUGGAACGGAGACACGGUCCAGACUCCUACGGGAGGCAGCGGUGGGAAAUAUUGGACAAUGGGCGCAAGCCUGAUCCAGCCAUACCGCGUGGGUGAAGAAGGCCUUCGGGUUGUAAAGCCCUUUUGUUGGGAAAGAAAAGCAGCAGGUUAAUACCCCGCUGUUCUGACGGUACCCAAAGAAUAAGCACCGGCUAACUUCGU